rnacentral:rRNA from 1 species
UACGUAGGGGCCUAGCGUUGUCCGGAUUUAUUGGGCGUAAAGAGCUCGUAGGCGGUUCGGUAAGUCAGGUGUGAAAUCUCCACGCUCAACGUGGAGGCGCCACCUGAAACUGCCGUGACUCGAGUCCGGUAGGGGAGUGUGGAAUUCCCGGUGUAGCGGUGAAAUGCGCAGAUAUCUGGAGGAACACCGGUGGCGAAGGCGGCAUCCUGGACCGACACUGACGCUGAGGAGCGAAAGCCAGGGGAGCAAACGGG